UUUCCGUAGGUGAACCUGCGGAAGGAUCAUUACAGAGUUAUCUAACUCCCAAACCCAUGUGAACCGAAACCUGUUGCUUCGGGGGCGACCCUGCCUUCCGGCGCGGCGCCCCCGGAGGCUCAUCAAACACUGCAUCUUUGCGUCGGAGUCUUAAUGAAUUUAAACAAAACUUUUAACAACGGAUCUCUUGGUUCUGGCAUCGAUGAAGAACGCAGC
rnacentral:misc_RNA from 1 species